CCAUUUCAUUGGAAGAAAAGAGGAAAAAAAAGGGGGGUGGGGGGGCUUGACACAAAGACCCACGCAUUAAACCCAGAUUUUGAGCACUUAUACUCGAAAUUAGGGCUAUCAAUUCAAAGUUUUAUACUCAACUGAAAGGUUGAGUUCUUCAUUUUAAAAUUUGAUUUUCUUUUAUUGGUGUGGUGGAGCUUUGGGUUGGGGAAGCACAAGAAGGCUCCCAAAUCUAUUCUUGACCAAGGCUGCACCUCAAAAAGGUCAAAACCAAGACUGUUGGGCUGAGGCCCAACAGACAAAUUCUUUCAGAAAAUACAAAAGUCCAGGUCGAAGGAAAUAGAAGCUAAUAUUGUACGUGUACGCAUCGAAGGCCCAGCCACGGAUAAAAAUGGUCAACUAGGCGUUUGGUACACCCCUAGCCUAGCCCUUUCCUCUACGUAUGAUAUUUUAUUUGAAUGUUGUAUUUGUAUAACUUGUAAACAUUUAUCUUAUAGUGGAAUCCUUUAUGGUUAUGAA